rnacentral:misc_RNA from 1 species
CGGGGUGACAUAAAUUGGGGGCAGAGCCAGCGGCAGCUCUGCUUGUCCUUCCAUCCGAGAUGGGACACUGAUGAUAACUUCAUCAGAAUAUAUGCACGAUAUCAUACGCGAAUGUCCAGAAUAGCACAAAUGACAUAAGCCCACCAAAAAAGCCAUCAAAUAUAAUCCGGUUCCAACAGUCAAAGUACGAGUGAACAGAAAACUUGGCCUUCGCUAUGAGUCCAACUGAAGAGAUUGCCAUGAUAAGGAAAUAAAGGAUAAAUCCAGCCAAACCCUUGAAUCCCAAAAUUCCAGCAAUCACCCCA